rnacentral:lncRNA from 1 species
AAGGAUACAACAGUGCCUGCCUUCUCUCUUGGAUGCAUGCUUAGAUGAUUGCAAAAACUUUACUAUUGGUGGUAAUUUACUUCUGUGGGUCUGACAAUUAACACUAAAAGCACUUCAAUCAAGUUAACCAAAGAAAUAAAGAGCAGGGAAAAUAGAGAGAGAGAAGGUAUGCUGGGAAACCAUUUCCAAUUCGACUGGGUAAUUCUCAGCUCCCUGUAGCCCUGGAGCACUUGAGCCUGAAUUUAGAGGUCUCCGAGACUGUUCAUCUGCAACGGAGCAUAACACACGAAGCUGAUGUGUAACAUCUUUACCAAGAACUGGUUUCUCAGUUCUGUGGACUCCCAGACACCAGAGGAAACUCCGCCUAAGUCCUUGCAGGGGGAGAUCUGGCUCAUCAGACAAAUAUCAGACAAAUCAACCUUACCUUGCAUGUGGCUCCCCUGGUGCCAGGAUUUGGACUUGCACAUGGGUGACAGAAGUGUCUCAGUGACGCCGGUGCAUCUGGUGACAUUGCUGAUGGCUGUGCAACUUCCCCUGACAUCUACGGAGGACAUGAAACGUGCUGCUCACUGGUUCUGGUCUGUUCAUGCAAGGCAUCCUGCUAUUCCUUCCUUCUCGCAUGGGAGUAGGAAUCUGCAAAACCAUAGGAUGAAGAAGGCCCCGUGGAAGAAAAGCUCCUGCACAGCAUCGCCACAAGCAGGGCAAACAUCCAGCGGCGGAAAUACAAACGCCUCCUGUAAAAAUAAGAAACAAGAGAGCAAGUGA